AUUGAAUGCUGGCGGCAGGCCUAACACAUGCAAGUCGGGCGGAUGAAGGGAGCUUGCUCCUGGAUUCAGCGGCGGACGGGUGAGUAAUGCCUAGGAAUCUGCCUGGUAGUGGGGGAUAACGUCCGGAAACGGGCGCUAAUACCGCAUACGUCCUGAGGGAGAAAGUGGGGGAUCUUCGGACCUCACGCUAUCAGAUGAGCCUAGGUCGGAUUAGCUAGUUGGUGGGGUAAAGGCCUACCAAGGCGACGAUCCGUAACUGGUCUGAGAGGAUGAUCAGUCACACUGGAACUGAGACACGGUCCAGACUCCUACGGGAGGCAGCAGUGGGGAAUAUUGGACAAUGGGCGAAAGCCUGAUCCAGCCAUGCCGCGUGUGUGAAGAAGGUCUUCGGAUUGUAAAGCACUUUAAGUUGGGAGGAAGGGCAGUAAGUUAAUACCUUGCUGUUUUGACGUUACCAACAGAAUAAGCACCGGCUAACUUCGUG
rnacentral:rRNA from 1 species